rnacentral:misc_RNA from 1 species
GAUGAAGAACGUAGCGAAAUGCGAUAAGUAAUGUGAAUUGCAGAAUCCAGUGAAUCAUCGAAUCUUUGAACGCACAUUGCGCCCGCCAGCAUUCUGGCGGGCAUGCCUGUUCGAGCGUCAUUUCAACCCUCGACCUCCCCUUGGGGAGGACGGCGUUGGGGACCGGCAGCACACCGCCGGCCCUGAAAUGGAGUGGCGGCCCGUCUGCGGCGACCUCUGCGUAGUAAUACAGCUCGCACCGGAACCCCGACGCGGCCACGCCGUAAAACACCCAACUUCUGAACGUUGACCUCGAAUCAGGUAGGACUACCCGCUGAACUUAAGCAUAUCAAUAAGCGGAGGA